GACUCAAAAAAAUAUUCUGUGUGAUCACUCAAAACGUUCAGUGAGUUCAAAGAUAUUCCAAUUGUUUGAGGUACCGCUACAGUUGGUUUGUUUGGCCAUUUUAUCCUAGGAGAAAAAAUUUCACAACCUCAGGUACAGUGAGGGGAAUUAUUUCCUUAAGGAAACUGUGUGACUUUGGACGACUUGGCCAUUUCUGCUUCAUCUUUAUUUCUGAAAAUAAAAUACACCUCUUAUAAAGAUCACUUUGAUCUUGGGUUGACGGUAAUUUUUGUACUUCAUUGUGUUCUUGUUCUUAAAAUUGAACUACCUGAAAUGGUUGUUUCUAGUAUACAGAUUCUUGUACCCGUAGAAGGAAGAAUAACAAUCUUAAGGAAAUAAUUCAGAAUCUGUAUAACUUAUUUUUUGGAGAUUAAAGCUUUAAGCCUUCUACCCCGUUUGGAUUUAACUAGUGAUUAGAAGAAAUAAAUCUUCAUCACAAGUUUAAAAUUCAUUCGGUUGACAAUUGGAAGUCAUAAAAACUUCAUUGUUAACUAGAAACAAGAAGAAGAAUUUAAAGUUGCUUAACUUUACAAGUAGUAUUCUGAAAAUACUAAAUAUUUUUGUCUUGUGGUGACAGAAAAAAUGACUAACGAUAGUCUAAUGCAAGAUGCGGCUACGACUGUGAGGAAAACAAUAUUGAUUCAACAAGUCAAGCAAAUGAUCCGUAACCAAUGACACCUGCGGAGAAACCCAAAAAAUUUGCGAACAUUGACUUUAAGCGAUGGCAGCAAAAGAUAUUCUUUUACCUCACCACUUUGUGUGUGCAACGGUUCACUAGCGAAGACGCUCCUGAGGUACCCGAGGAAACCUCAGACAAAGAGCGUUUCGUAAUUGUAGAGGCUUGGAAACAUUCAGACUUUCUUUGCAGGAAUUAUUUUAUGAGUGGUCUACAAGACGAUUUUUAUAUUGUUUAUAGUGGAACUAAGACAUCAAAGGAACUGUGGGGGCACUUGAACGAAAAUAUAAGAUAGAGGAUGCGGGAAUUAAGAAAUUCCUUGUUGCAAGGUUCCUGGACUUUAAAAUGAUAGAUAACAAAUCAGUUGUCUCUCAAGCGCAGGAAUUACAAGUAACCAUUCACGAUCUCCUAGCAGAAGGUGUGUCUUUGAAAAAUACCUUAGUUGAUCAAAUUGAAAAUGUUCUUAGAACUCACAUAAACUGUUUUGUAGGUUUGAUUGUGAAUGAUGCAUUUCAAGUAGCAGCGAUCAUUGAGAAGCUACCACCUAUGUGAAAAGACUUCAAAAGCUACUUGAAGCACAAAUGCAAGGAGAUGACUGUCGAAGAUCUUAUUGUCCGACUAUGUAUUGAAGAGGAUAAUAAGGUUGUCGAGAGAAGGUCAAAAGAAAAUUCUACAAUUAAUGGAGCAUAUAUUGUAGAAGAUGACCAAAACAAUUCUAAUAAAAGGAAGAAAGCUAAACAAGAAAGCCAUCAACCCAAGAAGAAAUUCAAGGGAAAAUGCUUCAAUUAUGGCAAGAUUGGCCACAAGUCCACGGAUUGUCGUGCCUCGAAGAAAGGUAAGAAAAAGAUCAAGAAAAUAUGAUUGAAUCCAACAAAGAAUGCGAUGAUUUGUGUGCUAUAUUCUCAGAAUGCAAAUUGGUGGGCAAUCCUCGCGAAUGGUGGAUGAAUUCUAGUGCCACCCGCCAUGUAUGUGCCAACAAAGAGUUUUUUUCGUCAUUCGCUCCGGCUCAAGUAGAAGAAAUAAUCUACAUGGCUAACUCUGCUACUGCUAAGGUAGAAGGAACAGGAAAAAUAUGCUUGAAAAUGACUUCAGGAAAUGUCUUGACACUUAACAAUGUCUUGUAUGUUCCGAAGUUACGUAGGAAUUUAAUUUCUAUUUCACUUCUAGAAAAGAACGGAUUCAAAUGUAUAACUUUUUCUAGAAAAAUUAUAAUUAGCAAAGGAGAAAUGUAUGUAGGAAAAGGCUAUCUCACCGAGGGCCUUUAUAAGAUGAAUGUAAUGAAUGUUGAAAUCAAUAAAAGUUCAAAUUCUUCUUAUUUUCUUGAGUCUUUAUGAUUUAUGGCAUGAACGUUUAGGUAAUGUAAUUAUAAAAUACUACGAAAACUGAUUAACUUAGAAGUUUUGCCGAACAUUGAGUACAAUAAAUCAAAGUGUCAAACAUGUGUGGAAUCAAAGUAUGCGAAGCAUCCUUAUAAGUCUGUUGAAAGGAAUUCCAAUCCCUUAGACUUAGUACACACUGACAUUUGUGAUAUGAAGUCAACACCAUCACGUGGUGGGAAAAAGUAUUUCAUAACUUUUAUUGACGAUUGCACUAGAUAUUGUUAUGUCUAUUUGCUAAAUAGUAAGGAUGAAACAAUAGAUGUGUUUAGUUGAAAAUCAGUUAGAUAAAAAGAUAAAAAUGAUAAGAAGUGAUAGGGGCAGAGAAUAUGAAUCUUCCUUCGCUGAAAUAUGUGUAGAGAAUGGAAUCAUCCAUCAAACUACUGCCCUGUAUUCACCUCAAUCUAAUGAAAUUGCGGAAAGGAAAAACCAAACUUUGAAGGAAAUGAUGAAUGCUUUGCUUAUAAGUUUUGAUUUACCACAAAACUUAUGGAGGGAGACUAUCCUUACAGCCAAUCGUAUACUCAACAGAGUUCUCCAUAGUAAGACACAAUCAGUUCCUUAUGAAAAAUAGAAAGGACGAAAACCCAACUUGAAAUAUUUUAAAGUGUGGGGGUGUCUAGCAAAGAUCCAAAUUCCUAUGCCUAAAAGGGUUAAGAUAGGACCUAAGACGGUGGACUGCGUUUUCAUAGGAUAUGAUAAAAGUGGUAAAGCAUGUCGAUUUUUGGUUCAUAAAUCUGAAUAUUCAGAUAUUAAUGAAAAUACGGUAAUUGAUUCAGACAAUGCUGAAUUCUUUGAAAAUAUUUAUUCGUAUAAAAGUAGACAUGAACAGUCUAGUGAAGGUCUAAACGACCUCGAGAUGAACCAAGUGAGAAUGAACAUAAUGAAAAAAAUCCAAGAUGCAGUACACGUCAAAGAAUGUCUACUUUGUUUAGAUAAGAUUUUGUAACAUUUCUCUUAGAAAAUGAGCCUCAAACAUUUAAGGAAUCAAUGGCAUCUUCGGACUUAUCCAUUUGGAAAGAGGCAGUCAAUAGUGAGAUUGAUUCAAUCUUAAGAAACCAUACAUGGGAAUUAGUUGAUCUUCCUCUCGGAAAUAAACCUUUAGGUUCUAAACGGAUCUUCAAAAGGAAGAUGAAAGCAGAUGGUACUAUUGACAAAUACAAGGCAAGACUUGUAGUAAAAGGCUUUAAACAAAAAUAAGGCCUUGAUUACUUCGAUACAUACUCGUCAGUAACAAGGAUAACAUCGAUUCGAAUGUCAAUUUCAUUGGCUACGGUAUAUGGUCUUGAAAUCCAUCAAAUGAAUGUGAAAACUGCUUUCCUAAAUGGAGAAUUGGAGGAAGAAAUAUACAUGGAACAGCUUGAGGGUUGUGGUUCCAGGAAAGGAAAAUAAGGUGUGUAAAAUUAUUAAGUCAUUGUAUGGACUAAAGCAAGCACCUAAACAAUGGCAUGCGAAGUUUGACCAAACCAUGUUGGAAAAUGGGUUCAAGAUAAAUGAAUGUGAUAAAUGUGUUUAUAUUAAAGACACUUCAAAUCACCAAGUCAUUAUUUGUUUAUAUGUGGAUGAUAUGUUGAUCAUCAGUAGAGACAUUUCUAACAUAAAUGCUACAAAACGAAUGCUUGAGAGCAAGUUCGAUAUUAAAGACCUUGGAGUUACGGAUAUGAUCUUAGGUAUAAGAAUCCAUAGAACUCCACAAGGGUUGGCAUUGUCACAGUCUCACUAUAUCAAAAAUGUACUUGACAAAUUCAAGUAUAUGGAAUUCGGUAUUGCCAAGACUCCUUUGGAUGUGAGCUUUACACUCCGUAAGAACGACGGUGAAAGUGACUCACAAUUGGAAUACACAAGAGUAUUGGGGUGUUUAAUGUAUAUAAUAAAUUGUACACGACCAGACAUAGCAUACGCUAUUUGUAAAUUGAGUCGGUACACGAGUAAUCCCAAUAAAACUCAUUGGAUGGCAAUGAAAAGAGUUUUGGGGAAUCUUAAAUACACUCAUGAUUAUGCCUUGCAUUAUAAUAAAUAUCCUGCGAUACUUGAAGGAUAUAGUGAUGCAAAUUGGAUCACCAGAUCAAAUGAAGUAAAAUCCACAAGUGGAUAUGUAUUUACUAUCAGUGGAGGAGCAGUCUCUUGAAAAUUAUCCAAACAGACUUGUAUUGCUCGCUCUACAAUAGAAUCUGAAUUUAUCGCAUUAGAUAAAGCCAGUGAAGAAGCAGAAUGGCUUCGAAAUUUCUUGGAAGAUAUUCCGUAUUGGCCCAAGCCAGUGGCACCAAUAUGUAUACACUGUGAUAGCCAAGCAUCAAUAGGUAGGGCAGGGAACAUGAUGUAUAACGGUAAAUCUCAUCUAUAAGAUGAAGAUAUAAUACCGUUAGAGAACUUCUCUAUAGUGGAAUUAUCACAGUUAACUAUGUAAAGUCAAAGGAUAAUGUGUCGGAUCCAGUUACAAAAGGCCUAUCUAGAGAAGGAGUGGAAAGGACAUCCAAGGAAUGAGUUUAAGGCCUAGGACAAGUCAGCAUGGCGGUAACUCUACCUAGCAGACUGGAGAUUCCAAGAGUUAGGUUCAAGGAGAUCAAACAAAGUUAUGUCUGACAGGUUCAACAUUGUCAAUUACCCAAUCCAUUCUCAUGAUGUAGACAAUGUAUAGUAAACAAGGAUAAGACUUAAGGCAAAAAGUCUUUUAAUGAUUAUAUAAAUUUGACAGAUUUGACCAAAUAGUUUAAUCUAUAGAAUUGAACGUUUAGAAAUCACCUAUGUGAGGGCGAGGUGGAAGCCGCUUCAAGGAGAAUGUUAGUAAAGGCCUAUUCUCUAAGCUCUCAUGAAACCGGGAUUUGUUCAUGGAUGAAAAAAAUAAAACCAUGAGAACCAUAAACAUUAGAAGGCUGGUUGUGUAACAUGUAUUGUCUAGGUGUACAUUAAAGCUCGACGGUUCAAAGAUAUCAAAUCUACCAAUUGACCGAGUGCAUCCAAUGCCCGUUCACUACAGAAAGUUCAAAGGGAAACCCACUUAUCCAAAUGCAAUUAGUCUUUGCUUGAUGAUCACAUACUUGUACGUAAAACUUUUACAAAAAAUAGUCAUUCCCCAUUCAUGUGGGGAAUUGUUGGGUUCAUAGUAUAUGAAAGAAGUGUGAAUGGAAAAAUGAAGAGUAAAAUAUUGGAGGGAAGGAGACACUAAAAAGUGUACUCCCAAAUUAGAAAGUUUACUCUUUCUCUCACAUUGGUGGAAGAAGAGAACUUGGAAGUGUUUAUAAUCAAUAACACUUACUCCACAUGGUAAGUGAGGCAAGAAAUUAGAGAUGCCUCGCGCCGUCGUCGUUGCUCGCUCGCUCUGCUUCGGCUUUUGCUUAGGCUUCGGCUUCGGCUUCGGAUUCAAAAUUUAUUUGAGAUCCGAACAUACCAAAACAAAAACGCAGGAAAAAUUUUCUGAUGCUCCAUUUAUAUAGUAUGCAUGCAGUAACAGUUGCAAUGUUUUGAAAAGAACCGAUGCUUCAGUUGCACUGUUUCAAGUGAACUGAUGCUGAGAUAACUGUUCAGAAAAAGAUGCACUCUUUGAUGAACAGAUAUUAAUUUUCAGAAAGAGGUGCAACCUUUAAAGUGAACCAUUGCCUCUUUUCAGAAGAGGCAUGUUAUGGCUAUAUAAACCUGCUUUCAUUCACAGGUUCAGAGACGAUAAAAAAAUCAAAAUAAAAAUACUCUUCUUGACUUAAAAAAUAUUCUAUGUGAUCACUCAAAACGUUCAGUGAGUUCGAAGAUAUUCCAAUUGUUUGAGGUACCGCUACAGUUGGUUUGUUUGGCCAUUUUAUCCUGGGAGAAAAAAUUUUACAACCUCGGGUACUGAGGGGAAUUAUCUCCUUAAGGAAACUCUGUGACUUCAGACGACUGGGCCAGUUCUGCUUCAUCUUUAUUUCUGAAAAUAAAAUACACCUCUUAUAAGAUCACUUUGAUCUUGGGUUGAGGGUAUUUUUUGUACUUCAUUGUGUUCUUGUUCUUAAACUUGAACUACUUGAAGUGGUUGUUUCUAGUAUACCGAUUCUUGUACUCUUAGAAGGAAGAAUAACAACUUAUACAUCCGUGGAUGACAUAUCAACAUAUUGUGAAUGAUAA
rnacentral:lncRNA from 1 species